rnacentral:tRNA from 1 species
AGCAGCGUGGCUCAGUGGCAAGAGCCCGGGCUUGGGAGUCAGAGGUCACGGGUUCAAAUCCUGGCUCUGCCG